rnacentral:rRNA from 1 species
UACGAAGGGGGCUAGCGUUGUUCGGAAUUACUGGGCGUAAAGCGCACGUAGGCGGACUAUUAAGUCAGGGGUGAAAUCCCGGGGCUCAACCCCGGAACUGCCUUUGAUACUGGUAGUCUCGAGUCCGGAAGAGGUAAGUGGAAUUCCGAGUGUAGAGGUGAAAUUCGUAGAUAUUCGGAGGAACACCAGUGGCGAAGGCGGCUCACUGGUCCGGUACUGACGCUGAGGUGCGAAAGCGUGGGGAGCAAACAGG